GACGAACGCUGGCGGCGCGCUUAACACAUGCAAGUCGAGCGAGAACCAGGGCUUCGGCCCUGGGGAAAGCGGCGAACGGGUGAGUAACACGUGAGUAACCUGUCCUCGGCACCGGGAUAGCCCGGGGAAACCGGAUUAAUACCGGAUGGCCUUUCGAGUCCUCGGACUCGUCAGAAAAGGUAGCUUCGGCCUCCGGCCGAGGAGGGACUCGCGGCGGACUAGCUUGUUGGUGAGGUAACGGCUCACCAAGGCGACGANCCGUAGCUGGUCUGAGAGGACGAUCAGCCACGCUGGGACUGAGACACGGCCCAGACUCCUACGGGAGGCAGCAGUGGGGAAUCUUGCGCAAUGGGCGAAAGCCUGACGCAGCGACGCCGCGUGAGGGAUGACGGCCU
rnacentral:rRNA from 1 species